UGAAAUCUUGAGGUGCUCCUCCACCGUAGCAGCUACCUGAUCUGCACCUUCAGAGCGCCAUUUCACCUCGUUGUAAAAGCAUCUCGUAGCGUCGAUUAAUAGGUUUUUGACAUAGUCGACAUGCUUGUUCCCUUGGAGUUUAAGAUCAGUUUCUAUGGAUUUCAUGGUGGUCAGUACUUUCUUGUAGAAGAACUUCAUGUAGCCUGGAAGUUCUUCAGCGGCUUCCUCAUCCCAUCUUUCAAUUGCUUCUGUGAACAGCUUGCUUUCUUCCAAGGUGCUGUAGUUGUCG
rnacentral:misc_RNA from 1 species